rnacentral:rRNA from 1 species
ACAUGCCUACAACAUAGCGUUAAUGCAUCAGAUCCCAUUAGAAAUCUGCAGUUAAGUGCACUCAUGCUAGAGUAGUACUGGGAUGGGUGACCACCCGGAAAGUCCUAGUGUUUUACAUGCC